rnacentral:rRNA from 1 species
CUAAGGCUCCAGAGGAAGCCACGGCUAACUCUGUGCCAGCAGCCGCGGUAAUACAGAGGCGGCAAGCGUUGUUCGGAAUUAUUGGGCGUAAGGAGCACGUAGGCGGCCUUGCAAGUCAGUUGUGAAAGCCUUCCGCUUAACGGAAGAAUGCCAGCUGAUACUACAGGGCUUGAGUACGGGAGGGGAGAGUGGAACUUCUGGUGGAGCGGUGAAAUGCGUAGAUAUCAGAAGGAACGCCGGCGGCGAAAGCGACUCUCUGGCCCGAAACUGACGCUGAGUGUGCGAAAGCUAGGGGAGCAAACGGGAUUAGAUACCCCGGUAGUCCUAGCCGUAAA